rfam:Hordeum vulgare subsp. vulgare, WGS project CAJW01000000 data, contig: morex_contig_159368
AGUGAUUCUAUGAGGAACUUAUACUUUGCUAAUGCAUCUAUGAUGUUGAAAGGCCAAUGACCUGAUAUGUCCUUUUCAUUAUGAGUGCGU